UACGAAGGGGGCUAGCGUUGCUCGGAAUCACUGGGCUUAAAGGGUGCGUAGGCGGGUCUUUAAGUCCGGGGUGAAAUCCUGGAGCUCAACUCCAGAACUGCCUUUGAUACUGAAGAUCUUGAGUUCGGGAGAGGUGAGUGGAACUGCGAGUGUAGAGGUGAAAUUCGUAGAUAUUCGCAAGAACACCAGUGGCGAAGGCGGCUCACUGGCCCGAUACUGACGCUGAGGCACGAAAGCGUGGGGAGCAAACAGG
rnacentral:rRNA from 1 species